ACUGCCCCUAGAGACAUUGCAGGUGUGACUGCCAUGUCACAUGAUGUUAGUAGGUGGUAGAGAGGAGAGAGGCUAUGUCUAUGCUCGGUGUUCUGACCUAUGAACAUCUAAAUGAUUAGUAGUAGCUUAACAUU